AGAGUUUGAUCCUGGCUCAGGAUGAACGCUAGCUACAGGCUUAACACAUGCAAGUCGAGGGGCAGCAUGGUCUUAGCUUGCUAAGGCUGAUGGCACCGGCGCACGGGUGAGUAACACGUAUCCAACCUGCCGUCUACUCUUGGACAGCCUUCUGAAAGGAAGAUUAAUACAAGAUGGCAUCAUGAGUCCGCAUGUUCACAUGAUUAAAGGUAUUCCGGUAGACAAUGGGGAUGCGUUCCAUUAGAUAGUGGGCGGGGUAACGGCCCACCUAGUCUUCGAUGGAUAGGGGUUCUGAGAGGAAGGUCCCCCACAUUGGAACUGAGACACGGUCCAAACUCCUACGGGAGGCAGCA
rnacentral:rRNA from 1 species